GUCCGCACUGUAAACGAUGAUUACUCGCUGCUAGUGGGCAACUCUUAGUGGCUUAGCGAAAGCGAUAAGUAAUCCACCUGGGGAGUACGCCGGCAACGGUGAAACUCAAAGGAAUUGACGGGGGCCCGCACAAGCGGAGGAGCAUGUGGUUUAAUUCGAUGAUACGCGAGGAACCUUACCAGGGCUUGAAAGUUAGUGACCGUCUCUGAAAGGAGACUUUCCGCAAGGACACGAAACUAGGUGCUGCAUGGCUGUCGU
rnacentral:rRNA from 1 species